UGAAUGGCGGCGUGCAUACUAUUACAGUCGAGCGGAAAGGCCCUUCGGGGUACUCGAGCGGCGAACGGGUGAGUAACACGUGAGUAACCUGCCCCUGACUCUGGGAUAAGCCCGGGAAACUGGGUCUAAUACCGGAUACGACCGGCUCUCGCAUGAGAUGCUGGUGGAAAGUCUUUUCGGUUGGGGAUGGACUCGCGGCCUAUCAGCUUGUUGGUGGGGUAGUGGCCUACCAAGGCGACGACGGGUAGCCGGCCUGAGAGGGCGACCGGCCACACUGGGACUGAGACACGGCCCAGACUCCUACGGGAGGCAGCAGUGGGGAAUAUUGCGCAAUGGGCGAAAGCCUGACGCAGCGACGCCGCGUGGGGGAUGACGGCCUUCGGGUUGUAAACCUCUUUCAGCAGGGACGAAGUUGACGUGUACCUGCAGAAGAAGCGCCGGCUAACUACGUGCCAGCAGCCGCGGUAAUACGUAGGGCGCAAGCGUUGUCCGGAAUUAUUGGGCGUAAAGAGCUCGUAGGUGGCUGGUCGCGUCUGCCGUGAAAGCCCGCAGCUUAACUGCGGGUCUGCGGUGGAUACGGGCCGGCUAGAGGUAGGUAGGGGCAAGUGGAAUUCCUGGUGUAGCGGUGAAAUGCGCAGAUAUCAGGAGGAACACCGGUGGCGAAGGCGGCUUGCUGGGCCUUACCUGACGCUGAGGAGCGAAAGCGUGGGGAGCGAACAGGAUUAGAUACCCUGGUAGUCCACGCUGUAAACGUUGGGCGCUAGGUGUGGGGAUCUUCCACGAUCUCCGUGCCGGAGCUAACGCAUUAAGCGCCCCGCCUGGGGAGUACGGCCGCAAGGCUAAAACUCAAAGGAAUUGACGGGGGCCCGCACAAGCGGCGGAGCAUGUUGCUUAAUUCGACGCAACGCGAAGAACCUUACCAAGGUUUGACAUCACCCGGAAAGCUUCAGAGAUGGAGCCCUCUUCGGACUGGGUGACAGGUGGUGCAUGGCUGUCGUCA
rnacentral:rRNA from 1 species